AGAAUGUUUGUGAAGCAAGUGAUUGAAAAUUUAUUAUCUUCCAGAGAUGGCAUCAAGGUGAGUUGAUUCAGCAGCUUAACCUUGUCAUCCAGCAUUCCAGUUCUUUCAGCCUCUCUACUCUGCUGUCUGCAACAACAGUUUAUACAAAGGCUGGUUUCUUUCUCAUAUGAAGUCUUGCUCUGUUGCCCAGUCUGGAGUGCAGUGGUACGAUCAUAACUCACUGAAGUCUCAAACUUCUGGGCUCAACCAAUCCUCCCGCUUAACCUCCCAAGUAGCUGGGACGACAGUUUUGUCAAUUAUGAAUGAAGUGGCUGUAAUCUGUGUUCAAGAUUUUGUGUAUACAUGCAUUUCCAACUCAUUUGGAUAGACACGAAGGAGUGCAAUUGCUGAAU